UACGUAGGGGGCAAGCGUUGUCCGGAAUCAUUGGGCGUAAAGAGCGUGUAGGCGGUCCGGUAAGUCGGCUGUGAAAGUCCAAGGCUCAACCUUGGGAUGCCGGUCGAUACUGCCGGACUAGAGUUCGGAAGAGGCGAGUGGAAUUCCCGGUGUAGCGGUGAAAUGCGCAGAUAUCGGGAGGAACACCUGUGGCGAAAGCGGCUCACUGGACCAUUACUGACGCUGAGGCGCGAAAGCUAGGGGAGCAAACAGG
rnacentral:rRNA from 1 species